rnacentral:rRNA from 1 species
GAUGAACGCUAGCGGGAGGCCUAACACAUGCAAGCCGAGCGGUAUUUCUUCUUCGGGAGAGAGAGAGCGGCGUACGGGUGCAGAACACGUGUGCAACCUGCCUUUAUCUAGAGGAUAGCCUUUCGAAAGGAAGAUUAAUACUCUAUAAUAUAUUAAUUGGCAUCAAUUGAUAUUGAAAACUACGGUGGAUAGAGAUGGGCACGCGCAAGAUUAGCUAGUUGGUGAGGUAACGGCUCACCAAGGCAAUGAUCUUUAGGGGGCCUGAGAGGGUGAUCCCCCACACUGGUACUGAGACACGGACCAGACUCCUACGGGAGGCAGCAGUGAGGAAUAUUGGUCAAUGGGUGCAAGCCUGAACCAGCCAUCCCGCGUGAAGGAUUAAGGUCCUAUGGAUUGUAAACUUCUUUUGUAUAGGGAUAAACCUACCCUCGUGAGGGUAGCUGAAGGUACUAUACGAAUAAGCACCGGCUAACUCCGUGCCAGCAGCCGCUGUAA